UUCACUUGAAUCAAGCUACUCCCAGCUUCUGCACACAUCUGGUCCAACACUACUUUGGGAUAUGUUUUGCUAAGGUUGCUGUUCUGCCUGGAAGGCCCUCAUUCCUCAGCUGCAUGACCCGAGGUUUCCUUCCUCUAAGACCUUGCUAGCGGCUCCUAGAUGCCUUCCAAACCAAAUUCUCUUCUAUGAGAUCAGCUCUUAGCUUUGUAUUCCCUGGCACUUAUGGAGUAUGUUAUGGAGAAAGACUGUCUAGUUGAAGGAAAACAAGCUCUGGGCUCCCACUGAUUCUACGUUAUGAGGAAUUUCUCAAGAUUUUAUCUUUACUGAUUGAUUUCUAAGGGAUGCUACUUGCUUCUAACAUCAUGUUAAUCAGCAAUGUAAGCUCUGGCAUAGCUUACCAACCCUAAGAGUGGCAGGGAGUUGCUCUGUGUAAUGGUGGAGUACUCAGCUGUCUUCUCCAUGGUGGUUGAGUUCUCUGGAUGGGAUCAGCUUUCUUCACAUGUCACUGAAGUGAAAGGGGACAAUUGAAACCUAUUUUGACAGGUUUAAAAGCUAAAGCCAAGCCAGGAAGAGGAAGACAAGAUGAGAAACCCCAAAUCAAGUCUCCUGCCAGUGCUUCCAAUCGCUGAACUGAACUGGGAACAAAUCAACAAGGGAAACCAAGAGAUGCAUUCCUUGAAGUUCAGCCUCCAGGCCUCAAGUAAGGCAGAGGAAGAGAAUACAUAGAUCUGUGGAGAAGAGUGGUGAUGGUGGGAGCUGCCAAUAAAGAACUAUCAAAAAAGGAUGAUGCAACAGAAAAGCCGUCACCAGAUACCAGCACCUUAAUGUUGGACUUCUCAGCCUCCAGAACUGUAAGAAAUAAAUCCCUGUUCUUUAUAAAUUACCCAGUCUCAGGUAUCCUGCUAUAGCAGCACAAAAUGGACUAUGAUAGAAAAUUGGUAUGAAGGAGUAGUACCAUUGUUAUAACAAAUACCUAAAAAUGGAAGCCACUCUGGAACUGGGUAAGGGGUAGAGUAUGGAAGAAUUUAGAGGAGCAGGCUAGAAAAAGCCUAAAUUGCUGUGUAUUACUCCAGGAUGGUAAGAAAUAAAUCUCUGUUCUUUAUAAAUUGCCCAGACUCACAGCACAAAACAAAUUAAGACAUUAAGAUUUGCCCCAUUCUUAGAAUUCAUUUCUUCCAUUUUCCCUUUAAUUAAAUCAAUGCCAGCAUCUAAGCAGUGUGCACCUUUUGACCAUAGUCUUUCUAAUUGACCAGAAGCUUAGAUGUGGAAAAUGCAAAAACUAUGCACAUUUCUGAUGGGUUUAACUUCUGAGAAAUUUUUACAAGGUUUUCCUUAUUUUAUCUGCUCCAGUAAACCUGUGGUUUCAUGAACAGGCCUAGAAUUUGAGAUUCAGCUUCUAAACUUCAAAGGUGACCUUUCAACCCAUUUGUUUAUAGACUCGGUAUUAACCUUUUGAGUUCUAGAAUAGGGUUUUAGAACUUACUUUCAUAAAAGUUUAUAUAGUCAAUUCCAUUCAUUUAUGCUAAGGACAUAGAAUAUUUCUAGAUUGCACAAUAUGUUUCUGUGGGAAUUGAAUGGAAAUCCAGGUUUCCUGACAAGAAACAAAGGAUCUUUGGGAGGCCGAGACAGGCGGAUCACGAGGUCAGGAGAUCGAGACCAUCCUGGCUAACA
rnacentral:lncRNA from 1 species